rnacentral:rRNA from 1 species
UUCGGGUUGUAAAGCACUUUCAGUAGGGAGGAAGGUAGUGUAGUUAACACCUGCACUAUUUGACGUUACCUACAGAAGAAGCACCGGCUAACUCCGUGCCAGCAGCCGCGGUAAUACGGAGGGUGCGAGCGUUAAUCGGAAUUACUGGGCGUAAAGCGCAUGCAGGUGGUUUGUUUAAGUCAGAUGUGAAAGACCCGGGGCGUCAACCUCGGAAUUGCAUUUGAAACUAGGCAGACUAGAGUACUGUAGAGGGGGGUAGGAAUUUCAGGUGUAGCGGUGAAAUGCGUAGAGAUCUGAAGGAAUACCGGUGGCGAAGGCGGCCCCCUCGGACAGAUACUGACACUCAGAUGCGAAAGCGUGGGGAGCAAACAGGAUUAGAUACCCUGGUAG